GACGAACGCUGGCGGCGUGCUUAACACAUGCAAGUCGAACGAAGUGGCGAACGGGUGAGUAACGCGUAAUCAACCUGCUCUUCAGAGGGGGACAACAGUUGGAAACGACUGCUAAUACCGCAUAAUGCAGGAGGUGCUUGCGUCGUAUUGGCUAGUUGGGGGGGUAAAGGCCCAACAAGGCGAUGGUCAGUGGCCGGUCUUAGAGGGUGAACGGCCAAAAUGGGACUGAGACACGGCCCAGGAUCCUACGGGAGGCAGCAGGGGGGAAUCAUCCGCAAAGGGCGAAAGGCUGACGGAGCAACGCCGCGUGAGUGGUGGCGGCCUUCGGGUUGGAAAGCUCUGUUAAUCGGGACGCGGUACCGGAAUAGAAAGCAACGGCUAACUACGUGCCAGCAGCCGCGGUAAUAC
rnacentral:rRNA from 1 species